rnacentral:rRNA from 2 species
AAAUUGAAGAGUUUGAUCAUGGCUCAGAUUGAACGCUGGCGGCAGGCCUAACACAUGCAAGUCGAACGGUAACAGGAAACAGCUUGCUGUUUCGCUGACGAGUGGCGGACGGGUGAGUAAUGUCUGGGAAACUGCCCGAUGGAGGGGGAUAACUACUGGAAACGGUAGCUAAUACCGCAUAACGUCGCAAGACCAAAGAGGGGGACCUUAGGGCCUCUUGCCAUCGGAUGUGCCCAGAUGGGAUUAGCUAGUAGGUGGGGUAAAGGCUCACCUAGGCGACGAUCCCUAGCUGGUCUGAGAGGAUGACCAGCCACACUGGAACUGAGACACGGUCCAGACUCCUACGGGAGGCAGCAGUGGGGAAUAUUGCACAAUGGGCGCAAGCCUGAUGCAGCCAUGCCGCGUGUAUGAAGAAGGCCUUCGGGUUGUAAAGUACUUUCAGCGGGGAGGAAGGGAGUAAAGUUAAUACCUUUGCUCAUUGACGUUACCCGCAGAAGAAGCACCGGCUAACUCCGUGCCAGCAGCCGCGGUAAUACGGAGGGUGCAAGCGUUAAUCGGAAUUACUGGGCGUAAAGCGCACGCAGGCGGUUUGUUAAGUCAGAUGUGAAAUCCCCGGGCUCAACCUGGGAACUGCAUCUGAUACUGGCAAGCUUGAGUCUCGUAGAGGGGGGUAGAAUUCCAGGUGUAGCGGUGAAAUGCGUAGAGAUCUGGAGGAAUACCGGUGGCGAAGGCGGCCCCCUGGACGAAGACUGACGCUCAGGUGCGAAAGCGUGGGGAGCAAACAGGAUUAGAUACCCUGGUAGUCCACGCCGUAAACGAUGUCGACUUGGAGGUUGUGCCCUUGAGGCGUGGCUUCCGGAGCUAACGCGUUAAGUCGACCGCCUGGGGAGUACGGCCGCAAGGUUAAAACUCAAAUGAAUUGACGGGGGCCCGCACAAGCGGUGGAGCAUGUGGUUUAAUUCGAUGCAACGCGAAGAACCUUACCUGGUCUUGACAUCCACGGAAGUUUUCAGAGAUGAGAAUGUGCCUUCGGGAACCGUGAGACAGGUGCUGCAUGGCUGUCGUCAGCUCGUGUUGUGAAAUGUUGGGUUAAGUCCCGCAACGAGCGCAACCCUUAUCCUUUGUUGCCAGCGGUCCGGCCGGGAACUCAAAGGAGACUGCCAGUGAUAAACUGGAGGAAGGUGGGGAUGACGUCAAGUCAUCAUGGCCCUUACGACCAGGGCUACACACGUGCUACAAUGGCGCAUACAAAGAGAAGCGACCUCGCGAGAGCAAGCGGACCUCAUAAAGUGCGUCGUAGUCCGGAUUGGAGUCUGCAACUCGACUCCAUGAAGUCGGAAUCGCUAGUAAUCGUGGAUCAGAAUGCCACGGUGAAUACGUUCCCGGGCCUUGUACACACCGCCCGUCACACCAUGGGAGUGGGUUGCAAAAGAAGUAGGUAGCUUAACCUUCGGGAGGGCGCUUACCACUUUGUGAUUCAUGACUGGGGUGAAGUCGUAACAAGGUAACCGUAGGGGAACCUGCGGUUGGAUCACCUCCUUA